rnacentral:tRNA from 5 species
GCCACCUUAGCUCAGUGGUAGAGCAACUGUUUUGUAAACAGUAGGUCCGCAGUCCGAAUCUGCGAGGUGGCU